UACGUAGGUGGCAAGCGUUGUCCGGAUUACUGGGCGUAAAGCGCGUGUAGGCGGCUAUGCAAGUCGGAUGUGAAAGCCCUCGGCUCAACCGGGGAAGUGCACCCGAAACUGCAAAGCUAGAGUCUCGGAGAGGAUCGUGGAAUUCUCGGUGUAGAGGUGAAAUUCGUAGAUAUCGUAAGGAAGACCAGUGGCGAAGGCGGGUCUCUGGACAGUUCCUGACGGCUGAGGCACGAAGGCCAGGGGAGCAAACAGG
rnacentral:rRNA from 1 species